UCAAGUCUCCACAGAAGAAUUGCAACAUGGCUUUGACUCUGAGCUCCCAGUUGGUGUCAAAGAACUUCUGACUUAUGCUAGAAAUCUCUUAGAGCAUUGCUCCUAUAAAGCACUUGAAAAAAUUAGUCGAAGUCAAGAUUAUUUAAGUGACAAGGAAUUUCGUCGUUUUACCUAUGACAUGAUGCUUGCCUGGGAGGCACCCACUUGAAUGUGAUCCGCCACAACAUGACGCUACUUCUUGCUUUAAGUCCGAAAUGGUGGAUGAAGAUGAGGGGUCCUUAUUUUAUUCAAGUUCCACAAACAUGGCACUUCAGGUUGAUGCUGACAAGACAGUUGGUCCGGAAGCCUUUGCCCGCAUAACUCCUGCUUGUGUUCUUGUAGCUGAUAUAAUGAC